rnacentral:rRNA from 1 species
CGGGCGAGUGGCGAACGGGUGAGUAAUAUAUCGGAACGUGCCCAGUAGUGGGGGAUAGCCCGGCGAAAGCCGGAUUAAUACCGCAUACGACCUACGGGUGAAAGGGGGGGAUCGCAAGACCUCUCGCUAUUGGAGCGGCCGAUAUCAGAUUAGGUAGUUGGUGGGGUAAAGGCCUACCAAGCCUGCGAUCUGUAGUUGGUCUGAGAGGACGACCAGCCACACUGGGACUGAGACACGGCCCAG